AUACGUAGGGGGCGAGCGUUGUCCGGAAUUACUGGGCGUAAAGGGUGCGUAGGCGGCCUGAUAAGUCAGAUGUGAAAUACCAGGGCUCAACCCUGGGGGUGCAUUUGAAACUGUCGGGCUUGAGUGCAGGAGAGGAAAGCGGAAUUCCUGGUGUAGCGGUGAAAUGCGUAGAUAUCAGGAGGAACACCAGUGGCGAAGGCGGCUUUCUGGACUGUAACUGACGCUGAGGCACGAAAGCGUGGGGAGCGAACAGGAUUAGAUACCCUGGUAGUCCACGCCGUAAACGAUGGAUACUAGGUGUAGGGGGCGAUUAUGUCUUCUGUGCCGUAGUUAACGCAAUAAGUAUCCCGCCUGGGGAGUACGGCCGCAAGGUUGAA
rnacentral:rRNA from 1 species